UGUAUAAUAAACACGACUUCAACUUGAAACACGCAUGCAAAAGAGCUGAGAACUGUGAACCAGGCGGUUGGCCUUUACGUGAACACAGUAACAGGGAAAUCCUACUAUAGGGUAUAUCUUUGAUAUGUUAAGUACAUGGAUUUGCCAUCUACGGUAUUGUUGAACAGUUCAUUCUAUCAUGCUGUCUACAGCUGGGCAUAAGAGUGCUAACAGGAAGAAUGGGCCUAGUGAACGAGUGAUGAGUUGGAGCCAACCACUAGCAACACAACCAACUCCAUCAAGGGUGUGAUGGGUACACAAGUUGUAGUUGGGAACGUAUGAACCAUGUUGGUCCCAUGUAAUAGUACUGAACUAGUGCUUUCCUUUUGCUAUGCAAGUUGUGGUAUGUGUAAUGCCUUAAAUUCUGGAUAAUAUUUUGGGAGGAUGUUUGCAUUGAGGUGCUGCUUUUGGGGUGGCAAUGGGUGGUCGUUGGCCUUUUUAUAUGUAAUUGCCUACUUCUGGCAAGCAACUGAAUUCUAUCUAUAUCUCUAUUUUUCUGUGUGGCAAGCAGAAGAAUUCUAUCUACAUAUGUUUGUUUC
rnacentral:lncRNA from 1 species